rnacentral:lncRNA from 1 species
UCUCGAAGAAGCACGAUUCAUGUCCAACUAUUUCCUAGGGAAGAAUCCCAAUGACUAGAGCAGUUUCGAGGGGGAGCCACGUUAGAGCAGAUCGCAUUGAAUUAAUGGAAAUAACGACGGCAGUGACGCGACCGAAGGAGCACGAGGAUAGAUUGCGGUUCCAAAAGGCACUCGUUAGACCCAGAUGACCGACGGCGUUCGAGGACGUUUCGAGGUUGAAGAAGUUGCGGGUGACGAAAUGCAGGAGAGGACUUACCGAAUGAGAAGCCGUCUGCAGGUUUGCUCAUUGGCCUCGACGGGCACGAGACUGCAGCCAUCGUAGCGCGGGGGCGACUAAGGAUGUGUGCCUGUGUCUGCUUGUAGAGAGAGAGAGAGAGAGAGAGAGGAAUUCAGCUCAGUCAAGACGAGAUCAACGAUGAGAGAAGCAGAGAGAGAGAGAGAGAGAGAGAGAGAGAGAGAGAGAAAUGAUCUCCUCUGGUUUGGUUUCGAUGAGUUCGAUGCGCAAACUGGAAUGAGUUUCG